rnacentral:rRNA from 1 species
ACAUGCAGUCGAACGAUGAUCCAGAGCUUGCUCUGGGGAUUAGUGGCGAACGGGUGAGUAACACGUGAGUAACCUGCCCUUGACUCUGGGAUAAGCGUUGGAAACGACGUCUAAUACCGGAUACGACCAGCCCCGGCAUCGGGUGUUGGUGGAAAGAAUUUUGGUCAAGGAUGGACUCGCGGCCUAUCAGGUAGUUGGUGAGGUAAUGGCUCACCAAGCCUACGACGGGUAGCCGGCCUGAGAGGGUGACCGGCCACACUGGGACUGAGACACGGCCCAGACUCCUACGGGAGGCAGCAGUGGGGAAUAUUGCACAAUGGGCGAAAGCCUGAUGCAGCAACGCCGCGUGAGGGACGACGGCCUUCGGGUUGUAAACCUCUUUUAGCAGGGAAGAAGCGAAAGUGACGGUACCUGCAGAAAAAGCACCGGCUAACUACGUGCCAGCAGCCGCGGUAAUACGUAGGGUGCAAGCGUUGUCCGGAAUUAUUGGGCGUAAAGAGCUCGUAGGCGGUUUGUCGCGUCUGCUGUGAAAACCCGAGGCUCAACCUCGGGCCUGCAGUGGGUACGGGCAGACUAGAGUGCGGUAGGGGAGAUUGGAAUUCCUGGUGUAGCGGUGGAAUGCGCAGAUAUCAGGAGGAACACCGAUGGCGAAGGCAGAUCUCUGGGCCGUAACUGACGCUGAGGAGCGAAAGGGUGGGGA